rnacentral:rRNA from 1 species
AGUGAACGCUGGCGGUAGGCCUAACACAUGCAAGUCGAACGGCAGCACAGGAGAGCUUGCUCUCUGGGUGGCGAGUGGCGGACGGGUGAGGAAUACAUCGGAAUCUACUCUGUCGUGGGGGAUAACGUAGGGAAACUUACGCUAAUACCGCAUACGACCUACGGGUGAAAGCAGGGGACCUUCGGGCCUUGCGCGAUUGAAUGAGCCGAUGUCGGAUUAGCUAGUUGGCGGGGUAAAGGCCCACCAAGGCGACGAUCCGUAGCUGGUCUGAGAGGAUGACCAGCCACACUGGAACUGGGACACGGUCCAGACUCCUACGGGAGGCAGCAGUGGGGAAUAUUGGACAAUGGGCGCAAGCCUGAUCCAGCCAUACCGCGUGGGUGAAGAAGGCCUUCGGGUUGUAAAACCCUUUUGUUGGGAAAGAAAUCCAGCUGGCUAAUACCCGGUUGGGAUGACGGUACCCAAAGAAUAAGCACCGGCUAACUUCGUGCCAGCCGCCGCCGUAA